rnacentral:rRNA from 1 species
CGUAGUCGUUCCGGUACCGUUAUCUUGAUCGGGCCCGGGAGUUUGAUCAUGGGUCACGAUAGUUUUUACCAGGGUACCCCAAAAUUUUAACCUGGGAAAACGAAAUUUUAACUUGGGCUACCACCGGUUUUCCCCUUCGGGGGAAAGAUUUAUCCCCGAUAGAUCGGCCCGCGUCUGAUUAGCUAGUUGGUGAGGUAAUGGCUCACCAAGGCGACCAUCAGUAGCUGGUCUGAGAGGAUGAUCAGCCACAUUGGGACUGAGACACGGCCCAAACUCCUACGGGAGGCAGCAGUGGGGAAUAUUGGACAAUGGGCGCAAGCCUGAUCCAGCCAUGCCGCGUGAGUGAUGAAGGCCUUAGGGUUGUAAAGCUCUUUUGUCCGGGAAGAUAAUGACUGUACCGGAAGAAUAAGCCCCGGCUAACUUCGUGCCAGCAGCCGCGGUAAUACGAAGGGGGCUAGCGUUGCUCGGAAUCCUGGGCGUAAAGGGCGCGUAGGCGGACUCUUAAGUCGGGGGUGAAAGCCCAGGCUCAACCCUGGAAUUGCCUUCGAUACUGGGGAGUCUUGAGUUCGGAAGAGGGUUGGUGGAACUGCGAGUGUAAAGGUGAAAUUCGUAAUAUUUCCAAGAACCCGUGGCGAAGCGGCA